rnacentral:misc_RNA from 1 species
AAGUCGUAACAAGGUAACCGUAGGUGAACCUGCGGUUGGAUCAUUAACAAAAUGAUAAAAGUCCUGACCAUAAAAAGUCUGGGGCUUUUAUAAACACCUGUGAACUGUAAUUGUAUCUGGUGGGAGUUAAAUCCCACUGUCAAUAAUUUGAACUUUUAAUAUUUCAUGAAUUAGUUUUUAAAUUUAUUUAAUUUAUAACAACUUUUGACAACGGAUCUCUAGGCUCUCG